AACGAACGCUGGCGGCGUGCCUAACACAUGCAAGUCGAACGUGAUCAGGCCUUCGGGCCUGUGAAAGUGGCGCACGGGUGAGUAACACGUGGAUAAUCUGCCUGGUGAUCGGGGAUAACA
rnacentral:rRNA from 1 species